rnacentral:rRNA from 1 species
CCUACGGGUGGCAGCAGUCGAGAAUCAUUCACAAUGGGGGAAACCCUGAUGGUGCGACGCCGCGUGGGGGAAUGAAGGUCUUCGGAUUGUAAACCCCUGUCAUGUGGGAGCAAAUUAAAAAGAUAGUACCACAAGAGGAAGAGACGGCUAACUCUGUGCCAGCAGCCGCGGUAAUACAGAGGUCUCAAGCGUUGUUCGGCAUCACUGGGCGUAAGGCGUGCGUAGGCUGUUUCGUAAGGCGUGUGUGAAAGGCGCGGGCUCAACCCGCGGACGGCACAUGAUACUGCGAGACUAGAGUAAUGGAGGGGGAACCGGAAUUCUCGGUGUAGCAGUGAAAUGCGUAGAUAUCGAGAGGAACACUCGUGGCGAAGGCGGGUUCCUGGACAUUAACUGACGCUGAGGCACGAAGGCCAGGGGAGCGAAAGGGAUUAGAUACCCUUGUAGUC